rnacentral:rRNA from 1 species
UAACGAAUCUUCCGCAAUGCGCGAAAGCGUGACGGAGCAAUGCCGCGUGCAGGAUGAAGCCCUUCGGGGUGUAAACUGCUGUCAGGGUAUAAGAAGAAAGUGACUAAACCCAAAGGAAGGGCCGGCUAACUUCGUGCCAGCAGCCGCGGUAAGACGAAGGGACCGAGCGUUAAGCGGAAUCACUGGGCUUAAAGCGUACGCAGGCGGAGACAAAGGCGCUUUGUGAAAUCGCAGGGCUGAACCCUGGAAUUGCUUGGCGAACCAUGUCUCUUGAGGCAGGUAGAGGCGGGGGGAACGCUAGGUGGAGGGGUGAAAUGCGUAGAUCUCUAGCGGAACGCCAAAGGUGAAGACAGGCCGCGGGGCCUCGCCUGACGCUGAGGGACGAAAGCGUGGGGAUCGAACGGGAUUAGAUACCCCCGUAGUCC